rnacentral:lncRNA from 1 species
AUGGCAGUGAAUAAAAUCUGACAAUCUUACAAUAAACUCUUGAAUUGCAAAGAACUUGUCUCCAAAUCUAUCAUAUUUUACCUAAAACAAACAUGUAAAUUUGUGUUAGUAAAGGAAAGGCACUCUAGUCAACCCACAAUCAAGAACAAAGGCAUGAAUAAAAAAGGUUGAAACAUUAAAAUAAAUGAAUAAGACUUAUGAACAAUUAAAAUAACCAAUAUACAAUCGUCAAUUCCAGUGUUGUAAUCGGUCCUCUCAUGGUUAAAUAAGACUUAAGAACGAUUAAAAUAACCAAUAUACAAUCAAACUACGCAACAAUUUAGUACCAAAAUCAGACUACGUCAAUUCCAAAUGGAAUUAGGAUUUAAUGAUUACCUUCAUCGCAAAACCAAGUAGAUGCCGACCUGCAAUUUGUGAAAAAAAAUAUAACAUAUUAACAAAACCAUUAACAAUUAAUGAACAUACUAAUUUGAAUAAUAUGUGAGAAUUUCGAAAUCAUACCGUGUUUUGCACAGCAGCGUUGUUGAAUGAGGCGAAUGAGUAAUUAGGUUAAUUAAGGAGUUUAUGUAGUCGGGUCAAAAUCCGGGUAUGGUAAAACAAUAACAAUGAGAGUGAAGUGUCAGCUUCAUGUGGUGGUGGAACCCUAGCCGCCGCCCUGUGCCUUGAACCACAACCAUCAAAAG